AAUGAACGUUGGCGGCGUGGAUUAGGCAUGCAAGUCGAGCGAGAACCGUAGCAAUACGGGGACAGCGGCGUAAGGGAGAGUAAUGCGUAGGUCAUCUGCCCUCGGGCCUGGGAUAGCCACGGGAAACUGUGGGUAAUACCAGAUGAUGUCUCCGGACCAAAGGUGUGAUUCCGUCCGAGGAGGAACCUGCGUCCUAUUAGCUAGUUGGUAGGGUAACGGCCUACCAAGGCCAUGAUGGGUACGGGGCGUGAGAGCGUGCCCCCGCUCACUGGGACUGAGACACUGCCCAGACACCUACGGGUGGCUGCAGUCGAGGAUCUUCGGCAAUGGGCGCAAGCCUGACCGAGCGACGCCGCGUGUGGGAUGAAGGCCUUCGGGUUGUAAACCGCUGUUGUAGGGGAGGAAAUGCUGGUGGGUUCUCCCAUCAGUUUGACCUAUCCUAUGAGGAAGUCCGGGCUAAGUUCGUGCCAGCCGCCGCCUGUAAAAC
rnacentral:rRNA from 1 species